rnacentral:rRNA from 1 species
UUUAACUUGGGAGUCAGAACAUGGGUGAUAAGGUCCGUGUUCGAAAGGGAAACAGCCCAGACCACCAGCUAAGGUCCCAAAAUAUAUGUUAAGUGGAAAAGGAUGUGGCGUUGCCCAGACAACUAGGAUGUUGGCUUAGAAGCAGCCAUCAUUUAAAGAGUGCGUAAUAGCUCACUAGUCGAGUGACACUGCGCCGAAAAUGUACCGGGGCUAAACAUAUUACCGAAGCUGUGGAUUGUCCUUUGGACAAUGGUAGGAGAGCGUUCUAAGGGCGUUGAAGCAUGAUCGUAAGGACAUGUGGAGCGCUUAGAAGUGAGAAUGCCGGUGUGAGUAGCGAAAGACGGGUGAGAAUCCCGUCCACCGAUUGACUAAGGUUUCCAGAGGAAGGCUCGUCCGCUCUGGGUUAGUCGGGUCCUAAGCUGAGGCCGACAGGCGUAGGCGAUGGAUAACAGGUUGAUAUUCCUGUACCACCUAUAAUCGUUUUAAUCGAUGGGGGGACGCAGUAGGAUAGGCGAAGCGUGCGAUUGGAUUGCACGUCUAAGCAGUAAGGCUGAGUAUUAGGCAAAUCCGGUACUCGUUAAGGCUGAGCUGUGAUGGGGAGAAGACAUUGUGUCUUCGAGUCGUUGAUUUCACACUGCCGAGAAAAGCCUCUAGAUAGAAAAUAGGUGCCCGUACCGCAAACCGACACAGGUAGUCAAGAUGAGAAUUCUAAGGUGAGCGAGCGAACUCUCGUUAAGGAACUCGGCAAAAUGACCCCGUAACUUCGGGAGAAGGGGUGCUCUUUAGGGUUAACGCCCAGAAGAGCCGCAGUGAAUAGGCCCAAGCGACUGUUUAUCAAAAACACAGGUCUCUGCUAAACCGUAAGGUGAUGUAUAGGGGCUGACGCCUGCCCGGUGCUGGAAGGUUAAGAGGAGUGGUUAGCUUCUGCGAAGCUACGAAUCGAAGCCCCAGUAAACGGCGGCCGUAACUAUAACGGUCCUAAGGUAGCGAAAUUCCUUGUCGGGUAAGUUCCGACCCGCACGAAAGGCGUAACGAUUUGGGCACUGUCUCAACGAGAGACUCGGUGAAAUCAUAGUACCUGUGAAGAUGCAGGUUACCCGCGACAGGACGGAAAGACCCCGUGGAGCUUUACUGUAGCCUGAUAUUGAAAUUCGGCACAGCUUGUACAGGAUAGGUAGGAGCCUUUGAAACGUGAGCGCUAGCUUACGUGGAGGCGCUGGUGGG